UACGAAGGGGGCUAGCGUUGUUCGGAAUUACUGGGCGUAAAGGGCUCGUAGGUGGCCAACUACGUCAGACGUGAAAUCCCUCGGCUUAACCGGGGAACUGCGUCUGAUACUGGAUGGCUUGAGUUCGGGAGAGGGAUGCGGAAUUCCAGGUGUAGCGGUGAAAUUCGUAGAUAUUCGCAAGAACACCAGUGGCGAAGGCGGCUCACUGGCCCGAUACUGACGCUGAGGCACGAAAGCGUGGGGAGCAAACAGG
rnacentral:rRNA from 1 species